GCCCCUGUAGCCUAACGGAUAGGGCACUUGUCUUCGGAACAAGGUUUGUAGAGGUUCGACUCCUCUCAGGGGCA
rnacentral:tRNA from 1 species